GGGGAAUUUUGGACAAUGGGGGCAACCCUGAUCCAGCCAUGCCGCGUGUGCGAAGAAGGCCUUCGGGUUGUAAAGCACUUUUGGCGGGAAAGAAACGGCGCCGGUUAAUACCUGGGGUAACUGACGGUACCCGCAGAAUAAGCACCGGCUAACUACGUGCCAGCAGCCGCGGUAAUACGUAGGGUGCAAGCGUUAAUCGGAAUUACUGGGCGUAAAGCGUGCGCAGGCGGUUCGGAAAGAAAGAUGUGAAAUCCCAGGGCUCAACCUUGGAACUGCAUUUUUAACUCCCGAACUAGAGUGUGUCAGAGGGAGGUGGAAUUCCACGUGUAGCAGUGAAAUGCGUAGAUAUGUGGAGGAACACCGAUGGCGAAGGCAGCCUCCUGGGAUAACACUGACGCUCAUGCACGAAAGCGUGGGGAGCAAACAGGAUUAGAUACCCUGGUAGUCCACGCCCUAAACGAUGUCAACUAGCUGUUGGGUUCUU
rnacentral:rRNA from 1 species